GGCUCAGGACGAACGCUGGCGGCGUGCCUAAUACAUGCAAGUCGAACGGUCUUUCUAUGGAAGCUUGCUUCCACUGAGAAGAUAGUGGCGAACGGGUGAGUAACACGUGGGUAACCUGCCCAUAAGAGGGGGGAUAACAUCCGGAAACGGGUGCUAAUACCGCAUAGUUUUCUUGAUCGCAUGAUCGGGAGAGGAAAGACGGCCUUUGUGCUGUCGCUUAUGGAUGGACCCGCGGCGUAUUAGUUAGUUGGUGAGGUAACGGCUCACCAAGACGAUGAUACGUAGCCGACCUGAGAGGGUGAUCGGCCACAUUGGGACUGAGACACGGCCCAAACUCCUACGGGAGGCAGCAGUAGGGAAUCUUCCGCAAUGGACGAAAGUCUGACGGAGCAACGCCGCGUGAGUGAAAGAAGGUUUUCGGAUCGUAAAACUCUGUUGUCAGAGAAGAACAAGUUGGAGAGUAACUGCUCCAGCCUUGACGGUAUCUGACCAGAAAGCCACGGCUAACUACGUGCCAGCCGCCGC
rnacentral:rRNA from 1 species